CAGAACUCUUAGGAAACUUCCUCUCUUCCCACCAAAAAUAAUUAUAUAGUUAUCCUUGGGCGAUCUUGGAUCUUAAUUAGUACACUCACGUUCUCUGUGGAAAAUCGAUACUCUAGAAUACUCCCGGGUGAAGGCUACAUCGGUAUCCGUGCGCUUGCGGAUUUUUCUGUUUGCGUUUAAAAUACCCAACAAGCUUUCUGGCGCCGCUGUCGGGGAACGGUAGCUGUGCUAGUUUCGAACCAAGUCGUCCGUGUAUCCUUUUUCUUUUCUUUUUUUUACCACACUCACCUUAUCAUUUUCACCAUACCACAUGGAUUUCACUCUAAGCAUUAAUGAGCAUGGAAUUUAUUUCAUAGCCACUUCAUUUACUCCAUGCUCAUAUGCAACAUCUUCCCAAUCCAUUGGUUUUUCCAACAUCACCACAUUCGAGAUCUCCAACCCCCUCAUCCUUUCUAUUUAUAAAAACAUUAAAAGGGUGGUUGUCGAUGCAUAUGUCUAUAAUAAAUAUUGCAGAUCUCGUUGAGUUGAUCGUGAUAUAGGCCAGCGUUGGAGUGGAAACCACUUCGCUGACAUAAAUUAAUGCUUUCCCAAGGACAAGCUUAGUGUCCUAAAACAAGCACUGAUCAAAUUGUAACAUGAGCUUUUAAUUAUUUGCA
rnacentral:lncRNA from 1 species